rnacentral:lncRNA from 1 species
CGGGGACGGGACACGGGCAACAGGCUCAGCCCCCGCGCGCGCUCGGAGCGCCGCUCCCCCGCGGGGCCUUGCGCUGACCUGCAGGCGGCUGCUCAGCCCGGCGAAGCGAGCCGUCCCGUCGCCUGUCUCCCGCCGCGGCGGCUGCUCGGGCGGGGGCGGCUCCACACUACGCCGCGGCCAGCAGCGACGCGCCUCCUGGCUGGGCCUGGCCGCCCCGCCCUGUGCGCGGAGAGGAGGGUGCAGCAGCUGAGCUCCCCCCGACGACUCCACACCCCCGUUCCCCAGCGACACCGCACGCCCCGCCGGCACCAACACCCCCGGACGGGAGCUACGCGGCUGCAGACCAGCCUCUCCCACCCCCGGCCUGCACGCUAGGGACUCGCUCAUCCCUCCCAUCCCCGCAGGCAAAUUUAGGGGCUGCAUCCUCCCCAGCGCCUUGCCACCACGUCAUCUCUGAGGGGCUCCCCGCCGCCCCCCAAUUGCUACAGGUCACCAGAGCUGUACUGCCUGCCACCCAGCUCCUGCAAGCCUGCACUCCCCCCACUGCACGCACAGCCUGGUGUGUCGGGCUCUCACCCAACUUGAUCCGAACCUCGGGGGACACGACCCCCUUCAGCUCUUGUGCACCCUUCCCUGAUGUCGUCCGCACCGCGCUGGGGCACCCAUCCAUCCUGAGCCUUCAGAACCCAAGCCCACCUUUCACCACUUGGUCCCUGAACCUGGGAACACAGGAAAUGGUCAUCUGGAGCAAUGGCUUUCAGUCAUCAUGGACCCAAAUUGGAUUUGAAGCAGAUACUUAGAGACAAUGUUUAUCCUAUGUGACAGACCGCUCCCAGAGUCUAAUCUGGUGUGCUGCCAUAACUCCACAAUCUUCACUCCUGUACUCCUUCUAACCCCGCUUUACCAGGUGAUUACUCACUCCUGAGUCAAUCAACACCAGCCUCUUCCAUGUAAUUGGUCCCAGGCAGUGGGUGUACACCCUCUGGCCACCUAAGGGACGGUCUCCAAGUGAGCACCCCACCCCCCAGACACCAUACCAGGAACUCCCAUCCUACAUAGAUUGGGAACCAGCCCCAAUCACUUUAGACUCAUAGAUCUCUAUUCAUCCAUUUAACAAAGAAAUGGAUGUACUCAGCUUUCUUCAUUCACACCCUCUAAAGUCCACACAGCUUUAGAUAAAACAAACACUAGUUUAUUGAUUAGAAUAUGAUUUUAAGUGAGUAUAUAGCAAAUCAAUGCACAAUCACAUAAUAAAGUAGUCAUCAGUUACCACAAGUAAAUGAAAUAUAUAAAACGCAUGCUACAACACUACUACAAUUAUGCUUAUUUCACGACUCAGGUCUGGCUGUGGUGGUUUGCAGCCAUUCUCUGCUUAUUUCUAGACAGGGCCCAAUUCUUGUGGUAGAUGUUUCAAGAUGGGAAGUCCCUGGACAAAAGCCUGGAAAAAGCUCAAAGCAUCUGUCAUUGUUUUCAGUCUCUUCUUAGCCCCCUGAUCCCUUCCUGGGCAGGGGAUCUCUUUGUCCCAUCAGAGUCAGGGACCUCAAUUUGCAUAGUCUUUGUUACCUCCUGCAGGUACUUGCUUGCAGAUUUGGCUGUUUACAUGCUGCUGGCAGACGAUUCUGUUUGUCCUUCUUCCCCCAGAGCCAUGUAACCUGCUUCACAUAUAUGCACAUACAUGAUGCUGCAGGAAGCAUCCUGUGACAUCCUGGCUUAACAUUCUUAAUUUUUUCUCUCUUGGAGGGAAUAGCUAUUCUUUAAUACCAAAAUUCUCUUUGCCUUGGGCAAAAAUACAAACUUCUACAUAAAAAACCCCCUAAUUCUAAAUAAUUCAAAAACUUUCAUCUGCUGGGUUGUUCCUCACAUUCAUGGGCCUUGAGUGCAUUUAAACACCCAAAGAACUGAGGAAGUUUGUGGCUAGAGUUUCAGCCAUACAGUCUUUUCUCCUUUUAUAUACUGUACUGAAAAAAUAGUUACAAAAAUAUAAUAGUUAUCUGCGAAGCAAAGCAAUAAUGUAUCAGUGGUAGAAUGGACACUGGUCACUAUUCUAUCUUCAUAGAAGCUUUGGCAGUUUAACUAGUUUUUCUUGUUUCAGUUGUAUUUGUGCUAUAGUCACAACAGAAGUAAAAUUUAAAUAUGCACAAUUCAUACUAAUUUCCAAAGUAAACCAUUGAAACAAAAUGUUCAGUACUGUCUACAUCAUUUUGGGACAUUCCUUUUGGCUUCCUU